AGGACUCAGUUGUUCCUGUUUGAUAGUUCCUUCUACACAGGGGGCUGUAUUGCUGGAGUCAUGCAGGGACCCAUGCAUGUUUGAUGAGGAAGAGACCCCUCCAGAUGUAGAAGAGGAGACUCCUGAGGGACUUGUAACAUUGGUAGAAGAUUCUUUACAACCAGAGUCCAAUGGAAAAGAAAGAAGCCAUCUGGGAUGCUCUCUUCAUUACUCCAUAGGUUUUCGACCCUACCACUUACUAGAGACACAAAAUAACAAAGCGAUGUUACAACUGUUUAUAACUACAUCAUUUUAUAAGUGUAUUCAAUUCUCGUACAUAGGAAGAUCUAGCCACUUGUGAAGUUUGUAAUU